rnacentral:tRNA from 1 species
UAAAAGGUAAGCUAAUUAAGCUAUUGGGUUCAUACCCCAAUUAUGAGAAACCCUCCCUUUUUA